UACAGAGACUGCAAGCGUUAUUCGGAUUCACUGGGCGUAAAGGGUGCGCAGGCGGUUGGGUGUGUCAGAUGUGAAAUCCCGAGGCUCAACCUCGGAACUGCGUCUGAAACUACUCAACUAGAGUACUGGAGAGGGUAACGGAAUUCACGGUGUAGCAGUGAAAUGCGUAGAUAUCGUGAGGAACACCAGAGGCGAAGGCGGUUACCUGGACAGUUACUGACGCUCAGGCACGAAAGCAUGGGGAGCAAAAGGG
rnacentral:rRNA from 1 species